GGCUCCCUCCGGCCGCAGCUGCCCGGCCGGCUCAGCGCACCCCGCCUGCGGUCCCGCCGGCCCUCCCCGUCGCGUUGGUGGCGGCGGCGACCGGAACAGGCCCUCCCGCACCCUCCGAGGUGCCCUGCCCUACAGCGUUGGAGGGAGUUCAGAUGAAGUGAGGAAAAUCCAGGUGUCCCUGUGUCUAGGCUGAGGCAAAUGGAACUGUGGGAGGCAAAUGGAACUGGCCAGCUCCUUUGUUCCUGGAGAAGAAUCCUAAAGAGGCAUGCCCCUCCAACAUGUGCUCUGAGGUAUUGUGUUGGGUUCAUGGAUGCAGAAGAUAUACUACCAAAAGAAAAGAAAAGCAUGAUCCCUCCUUCAGACAUGUGAAAAACCAUAUUUCUUCAUAGAAAUGAGCAUUGAUAGUAUUUGUGAAAUCUCUAGAUCCAGCCAUUCAAUUAUGAGGACCCAUCUUGAAUGGUUUGUAUUGGGGGUUAAACCUUGUAUUUCUGCCCAGAUACUGCAUAUUUUACAAACUGAAGGUUUGUGAGUAUUUUUCAUUGAGCAAGUCUGUCAGUGCAAUUUUUCCAAAGCAUUUGCUCAUGUCGUGUCUCUGUGUCACAUUUUGGAGAGUCUAUAACAUAUUCCUGUUAUUUUAAACUUAAUAAAUGAAUCACGAAAAUAUAUAGAAUACUGGAUAAGUGGCCGAGUGACAGCAAGCAGGGGGCUUUCAACCAAGUAUGGAUAGAGUUCCCAGAAGACUUCAUCAGCAGGAAAGAAGCUCUAAUAAUGUGGAAUAGAAAUACCAGAAGACUCCUAUCAGCACAGCUGAAGACUGACCCUGGAGAUUGAUAUGUCUUCAUGCACUGGAGGCAAUUAGAGCAAACGGAUGAGAAGGGCCUGUUGGUAUUCAGGAGCAACAGUCUCAAGAACCCUGCCGGGGGGGGGGGGGGCACAGCACUUCUGUAGGACUGCCUGACAGUGGAUAGUGCCAGUGGCAGAGGGCAUACAGGCGAAAGAAUUUCUGCCAUCACCACCAAAACCACACGCCCAUGUUUGGAUGCUGUAGACCUGAAGUAGCAGGAUCAGUGGAACAUGGAUGGGUGAGAUCCAUUGCACAGGCUUCUAGGUGCAGCUCUAAGCCAAGGGUCAACAGUGGAAAGUUGGAAGUCCAGGGUCUGAACUUAUCCUGUGUCUGAUAUAAAUGAGUCAUCCCACAUCAGCAAGUAAGCACCAUAUUAACGGUUCAGUCUUAGAAGAUCCCAAGAAAGAAAUACUUGUAUUGUCCAGCAGGAGUGAUCUGAUCUGCUAGAACCAGAUUCGUGCCUAGAUCUGAAACCAUGCCUGGAUCUGGUACCAGAUCCGUGCCUGGUCUCUUGGUGGUAUUGGUCUGAAACACGAAGGCAAAUGCAAGAAGAAACAGUUAAAGAAUUUAAAUAUUCUUUAUCUCUGAUUUAUUCUUAGAGAAGGGCUCCUGAGGAAGAAAAGGAGAGUCAAGGGAUCACUGUUUCUUGUAACAAGCCUUGUACUAGUAUGUUAGUUUUUAAGUUCUAUACAUGUAUUACUUCAAAAAAUAAAAAUUAAAAAAUGAAUAUAUCAAAACAAAACAAAAUAAAGUCAAGUUAUAGUAUAUAGCCUUUUUUAUAAUCUGCCUUUUCUAUCUAAUGAUAUAUCUUGAACAUUUCCCCAUAUUCUCAUAAAAUAUGACUUGAUGAUUAAAUAGUAUUCUACCACACAGAUGUGCCAUAGCCAUAAGUGACUUAACAAUUUUCUUACUUUGGAUAUUUAAGUGAUUUCCAGUUUGUCUUUGUGGAAUGGAAAUCAGCAGGAAUUCGGCACUUCCACAUUCGGUGUCCGAUGGACUUGCUAAAAAUGACUUUUCAUUCUGUCUGUUGCUUCCAGCCCUUGUUGUUUCUGGAAACUUGCUGUAUCAACCCUCUCCCCUAAUAGAUCUUAUUAUAUGACAGUGUAGCUAAGAGUGAGGCUGCAGCAAGCCAGGUGGGCCUGGGUUCAAAUCAUAAACCUCCCAUUUUUCAGCUCUCAAAGACUCAGUGAUCUUAUAUUUAAAAAAGGAUUACUGUAAGGAUUAUAUGAAACAUUGUAUCUAAAUUUAUGGAGAUACCUAGUUGAUAAUGGUAUUAUCAUUUAUUGGCUCUUCUCUGACACCUAUUUAUUGAGUGUUUUAAUGUGGCAGGUCUUGUGAUGGGUGCUAAAGGUGCAAAGAUGGGAGAAACAAGCAAGCCCUGAUCUGUGACUAUUACAGUGUCACAUUAUAGAAAAUCAUCAAGCUAUUGCAUUUUAAAAAAUUUGGAAUUGCAGCUAUGCCAAAUGCCAAAGAAGAGAGAGACCUUGUGCAAUGCAUACCUGUCAUAGGAGAUUUGAUACAGUCACAGAGCGGCCCUGCGUCCUCAUAGGGAUAUCAGUCUUUGCCUUAUGAUUCUGGACAAAAAGAGAGGGCAGCAAGAAGAUUGGUAUCCUCCACCAGAAAACACAGUAUUUGGUUUAAGAUGUUGGGCUUUUUUGUUUUGUUUUGUUUUGUUUUGUCUGCUGUGUUCAUUCUCACAGAACAGAAACUGUAUGCAUGUGACUUUGCAAUGAAACAGUGCAGACUGGGACCGGUGGGAAAUAUCUUUAACUCUUUCCUGCCCACUGUUCAUGGCCUUCAGUCAUCUUUCCUGUUUAUGGCAUCUGUGCUCUGAGAGCCUUUUCAUGUACCUCCAGGAUGGGCCAUUGUAAUGUGCUUCUUUGACUAAGGUCCGUUGUCUUCCAGCUUUACUAUGCCACCCUGGCUGUCUUUGUAUCUCUAGGGCUUAGCAGGGUACCUGACACAAAGCAGCUUCUCACAACACGCAAAGCAGGUUGACUGAAAUCUAAUAUCGUAUUUCAGGGCAGGGCAGACAUCACCUGCCCAGGAAGAUGUAGGGAGGAAGGAAGAGACUUCUGGUCCCUGAAUAUACUAGAGCCCUAAGACAAUUCAGUGUGAAAAGGAGUGGAAGGAAAAUAUCAAGAGGCAGCUCCUAGAAAGGGUUCAAUGUAAAGGUGGGGAGGGAAUUCCAGACAGGGAGACAUGAGGUACAUGGGUAAAAAAGGAUAGCAACCUUAUCUGUAGUAGGAGUAUCAGUGUAUGGCUGUGCCAGGAGCAGGGAGAGGUUGGGGAGAGGCUGUUAGGGAGAUCAAUAGUAGAUGGCACUGGGAAAGUACUCGGAGCUGAGUUGUGAAAUACCUUCUGCCAUUAAUAUUAGAGACACAUUUAAAAUAAAACGCAUAGGCUGGAGAAAAGCAGAGGCUUUAAAAAGAUAGAAUUUAAGUACUGCUAAUGAUCUGACAGCACAGAAAAAUAAUGGAGCAAAAGAAAUCCUCCCAGCUGUGAUCAGCAUGCUUAAGGAUCUUGAACUUCACAAGCUGGCCAGGAACUAAAACUUCUGGGAUCUGAUAUCCUUGCUCCUGACCUUGCAAUUCCAGAGUUAAUAUUGUGUUCAGUGUCUGAAGGUAAAGGGAUCUUCAGACCAGAAAAAUAUUGUAUCUUAUUUUUUUUCGUUAGUGAUUAGUUUUUGUAUCUAUUUUUAAAAUAUGUAAACAGUAAUGUUUUGUGACUUUACUUAAUGAAUAAACUCCUCAUUAACAAAUUUCUUCAUA